rnacentral:rRNA from 1 species
GCGGGGCAACCUGGCGGCGAGCGGCGAACGGGUGAGUAACACAUCGGAACGUACCCUGUUGUGGGGGAUAGCCCGGCGAAAGCCGGAUUAAUACCGCAUAAGACCUGAGGGUGAAAGCGGGGGACCGCAAGGCCUCGCGCGACAGGAGCGGCCGAUGGCGGAUUAGCUAGUUGGUGGGGUAAAGGCUCACCAAGGCGACGAUCCGUAGCUGGUCUGAGAGGAUGAUCAGCCACACUGGAACUGAGACACGGUCCAGACUCCUACGGGAGGCAGCAGUGGGGAAUUUUGGACAAUGGGGGCAACCCUGAUCCAGCCAUUCCGCGUGAGUGAAGAAGGCCUUCGGGUUGUAAAGCUCUUUCGGCAGGAACGAAACGGUGGGCUCUAACAUAGUCUGCUAAUGACGGUACCUGAAGAAGAAGCACCGGCUAACUACGUGCCAGCAGCCGCGGUAAUACGUAGGGUGCGAGCGUUAAUCGGAAUUACUGGGCGUAAAGCGUGCGCAGGCGGUUUCGUAAGACAGAUGUGAAAUCCCCGGGCUUAACCUGGGAACUGCGUUUGU